rnacentral:rRNA from 1 species
GAUGAACGCUGGCGGCGUGCCUAAUACAUGCAAGUCGAGCGAACAGACGAGGAGCUUGCUCCUCUGACGUUAGCGGCGGACGGGUGAGUAACACGUGGAUAACCUACCUAUAAGACUGGGAUAACUUCGGGAAACCGGAGCUAAUACCGGAUAAUAUAUUGAACCGCAUGGUUCAAUAGUGAAAGACGGUUUUGCUGUCACUUAUAGAUGGAUCCGCGCCGCAUUAGCUAGUUGGUAAGGUAACGGCUUACCAAGGCGACGAUGCGUAGCCGACCUGAGAGGGUGAUCGGCCACACUGGAACUGAGACACGGUCCAGACUCCUACGGGAGGCAGCAGUGGGGAAUCUUCCGCAAUGGGCGAAAGCCUGACGGAGCAACGCCGCGUGAGUGAUGAAGGUCUUCGGAUCGUAAAACUCUGUUAUUAGGGAAGAACAAAUGUGUAAGUAACUAUGCACGUCUUGACGGUACCUAAUGAGAAAGCCACGGCUAACUACGUG